UCUGCAGCAUCCAUUGACUCUGUAGUCGGACAGCUUUCACCACCAGCGUUUGUAGUCGUAAGUUAUCUGUUGAUGUUGAAUCCUAAGUUUCUUUGUAAUACUUAUUAGUUUUCGAAGCAUGCUGCAUCACCUUGAAAAUUAGACUCUGAUAAUGAUGUGAUUCAGAAAACUGAAGCUGAAGGUUGUACUUUCAAGUUCCUGUUAUGAGUGGAUGUAAAGCUAACCUCUCUUGAAUAUCAAAUGACUAAGCUGUAAUGUGAAAUUUGCUAUGGGGGUUGAGUCGUGAAAGGACUCUGGAAUGGUGAGGCUAUGGAUGCUGGAUGUCCCAUUUGAGCAAUGGACAGUGCUCUCAGGUACAUUUCCGUCCUGUUGGUUCAUCAUUGGUUGUGUCUGUUAGAUGGCUUCCACAGGAGUUCAUGUCUGGUGGUGUUUAUUUAACAGCUGCAUUCUUUCUCAGGGUUCACUUGGCUGUGUUAAGUCUAUGGUCGUUGCCCAAUGAGUUGGUCUUCGCCAGGUUGUUGUAUUACGCCUUGUGUGGUGGUAAUGUUCGAUGGUGCUGGCCAUGUAAGGUUGUACAUUUUCUCAAGGUGUGGGUUGGUUUUGAUUUGUACCUCCGUGGCGGUGUUGUCAUGCUGCAAAUGCUUGAUGUGUUACGUAAGGUGUUUGAAGUGUUGGAUGGCAUCAGUUUUCGUUUGGUUACUUUACCCCUCAGGAGUGUUCUUGGGCUGGGGAAUUGAUGGUUGUUAGCCGGUUGGAUUGGGGCAGUUGUAGUUUACCAUUGCCCGUGAGGUAAUUAUAGCUGCAUUUUAAUGGGAACUAUAACUUGAGGCGUGGAGAUGAGGGACCACCUGUGGAUUUAUUGUUCCGGAGGUUUUGGUGACUUCAUUCGGUCUUAAAACCAGUUGACAUGGAAAGUAAAAUGUAACUGGUAUUCCGAGGUGGUUACUUCGAAGGUUUAUACCUGAAGUCUGUCGAUCCGUUGGUUAACCCUUUGGCUGGGUUCUAUGAGUUACUUUAUCAUCUAUGUCGUUUCUGCCGGUGUGACCGUUGAUGAUUCUGUCUUAAUCGCCACGCUGCCUGUUGCCUUAGUUGGUAAUUUCGUCAGUGCGACUCCAGUUCUGCUUGUUUAUCUCAUCACCAGGUAAGAUUUUUUUCUGGGGUGGUUGCUUUUGAAGUUUCAUACCUGGUGUCUAUCAACCAGGUUUUUUUCUAUCUAACUGGAUAUGAUAAGGUAAUUUAUUGGCUAUAUUUCCUAUUAUGAUAUUUCCUCAACUCGUUAAGAUAAAUAAAGUAAUGAUAGUAUAGUCAAUGUGGCUAGCAUCGGUCGUUUUCUAAACUAGUUGACAAGGAAAGAAAUGUUUCUAUCAAUAACGAUGUACAGAAGGAGUGAAAGGAAUAAUUUAUGGCGAUAAGAAAUAAAUUAACAUAUUGGGACAUUUAUACUGUAUUAAUAUAAUAUACUAAUAAAAAAUUAAAACUUUUUCAUCUCGAUUAAAAUGAAGAUAAAUAUGAUGAUUUAAAAGCCGAUUUAUUUAAGUAUCGUUGGCUAUUGCUUUUCUCUGUAUGAUAUUUACCACCCUAUUUUCUUCAUGCUCGUUAAGUACUUUAUUAACUUUACUUUGCUUUUUUUAUUUUUUUACUUUGUGUUUUACUAAAUACCUGAUAAAUAUCGGGUCGUUGGCUAUGCCUUUGAACUGGUUAAUUAAUGUAAUAUAACAGCAAAGACGGUGGAUAUGUUUCAUAUAAAACCACAGCUCGAUAUAUAAAUUUAUCUGCUUACAAACUCAACUAACAGUCUCUUCCCGUGAAACCAUCGAUGGUUUUGUCUCCGAAGGUACUUGUCUUUUGCCUGAUUUGUCCUUUUUGUCAGUGCCGUUCCAGUUCUGUUCGAUAGUCCUAUUUCUUGAUAUAUCUGUUAAUCUGUUCGCUAGUGUACUGUAGCAUAACCCUUUACAUACUUCUUUUUCUUGGACUAAUAACUUCUAUAUGGUAAUGCAUUGGUGUAUAUAUCAAUGGGUAAUUGCACUAGCUUUGCACAUAGCAUUGCUACAUUCCGGCCAUUUUCCAUUACUAACCCAGUUUUAAAUUUUCACCCAACCCAUACAAUUACCUUGCUUAUCAAACUGUUGAUAAAAAUAUUUCACAUUAAUUAUAAAUAAACUAUAGAUUAAGCCUGCUACUAAUUACUUUACUUGUCUAUCCAUCAACGAGUUUCUUAUUUGUGCAUGUUAGUCAUCACACCGUUUCACAAAUAAACCACCAUGAUUCGUUCA